UAUAGUGUCUGAAGACAAGGGAUC
rnacentral:piRNA from 1 species